GUUUAGUAACACUUUUCGAACAGCACAGAAAUUGUUGAAAUUGUUAGCAAAACAAAUUAUAUAAAUCUUGAACAAAAAAAAAAUGGCAACACGUGUUGUGGCAACAGCAACGGUACGCGCUGUCACGGGACGAAAAUUAAUAGCAACGCGGGCCGCACUAACGCUGACGCCCGCUGCGGUGCAACGCAUCAAGUCGCUGCUCCAGGAUAAACCAGAGAUCGGUCUCAAGGUCGGUGUGCGCCAGCGCGGCUGCAACGGACUCUCCUAUACACUGGACUAUGCCAGCACCAAAGAUAAACUGGAUGAGGAGGUAGUGCAGGAUGGCGUCAAGGUCUUUAUAGAUAAGAAGGCGCAACUGUCUUUGCUAGGCACCGAAAUGGACUUUGUGGAAUCCAAAUUGACCAGCGAGUUUGUGUUCAACAAUCCGAACAUUAAGGGCACCUGUGGUUGCGGCGAAUCCUUCAGCAUGUAAAGCGUUUGUGGAGGGGGAGGGGUAGGCCAGCGGCAUGCUCUCUCUACAGAACCGGACCCGCCUCGCAAAAACCUAAAUUAUCUAAGUUUAUAUAGAGAUAUUACAGCUUGUGUUAUGUAUAUUUCUUUUCAAAUGCAAUUGUUAUUUUGCUAACGCUCGUUGCGAAAGCAUCUACUCAAUUGUCUCGAUACGUUUCUAGAAUCUACCACAUAAGGUGCUCCACAACAAAAACGAAAGCAAGAUUAUUAUGAAAAUAUAUGCAUAAGAUUGUUUUCUAUAGUUACAUAUUAAUCGUAAGCGCGCGGCAAAUGAGCCCAAUUGACACUGUUCUUAGGUUAUCCUUCAAAUAACAUAUACGUAUGUACAUUAGCAUGUAUGUAGUUCAAAUUAUAAACAAAUAGAAUACAAAACGAUAAUUGUUUACUAACAAAUCUAUUCUUAUCGCUUGAUAAUAAAGAGCGACAGUUGUGGGAUCGAGCAGCUCGAUGUGGACAAGAUUGAAGGCAUCUUGAAGAGCAAACCAAUCGUUGCUUUAGAAGCUGUAAUACAUAAUGGAUUAUGGAUCGUCUGGAACAGGAGGGUUUCAUCUCAUGCUGGGCAUACACUCUACCGGAGAUCCUGACUGAAUAAAAAUACU